UCAUUAAGGAAAAGGAGAAAACCAAACAAACAAAGAAACUUCAUUCUGUGCUCCUGCCGUGCUGACGUGUCAUCACAAUUACCCGGAAGCCGGUGACAUCACAGUUAAAGGUCCUCCUGAAACCAACAACAGAAAACCUGUUCCAGCGCCUGCCUCUGAGCAAGAUUAUUUUCUCAUCAGACCUCUCUUGCUGUGGGGCAAUCUAUAUUGGAGCCCUAAUCCGUUGGAUUAUAAUGGACAUUUAUUUUUGGAGAAGAAUUUUGUGAUUAUUUUUUGAUGGCUAUAUAUUUAUUUUUCUUUUUGAAAUACAAGGACUGUUAAGCCUAAUUUUUUGUUGUCUUUUUGUGAAAAGUUUUCAUUCCUUAUUUGUAAGGGUCUACACACGCAAAAGUGUAUGGUCCUUGUGUGACUGGUUUAAAAAUCUAUAUAUAUUGAUCCUACUUGUCAGGAGGGAUACCUGACUGGCACCGCUAAAAAGUGACA